rnacentral:lncRNA from 1 species
CUGAUGAACCACCUUCGCAUUUCUCUCUCAACACUGACAUUCAAGCUGAAACGCAAGUACUAAAAUGGAGGGUGUGGAUGGAGAAAGUGUAACAUUUAAUGAAGCACAUCAUUUGCAAAUCCAGUACUAACUUGGACUUCCUAGACCAAAUCCUCCACGGCAACCUCGGAAACUACCUCUUCCACCUCUUCUGUAUGGCCCUGAAGCUUCUGAAUUAUUUCCAUCUCGAUAGCCUAUAAUGUUAAAACACACACAAGAACAACACAAAACAACAACAAAGAAAUCUUGGGGACAUGGUCAAAUUUAAUUUAAGCCUUGAAUAAUUCAGUAACUUUAAACAAGUGUUUAAAGGCAUUGUUGUCAAAAAGAAAUGACAUUUUGACCUAUUAAGUGUUCAAUUUUACUAAUAUAAAUAGAUAUGGCUACAAUUUUUUAAAACCUCACUGCUUGCUUUGAGAAUCAAGUCUAAAAAUCACCUAAAGGAAAAAGUAGCACUUGAAUUAAAACACUAAAAGUCACCAAAACUGCACCAUUAACUGGAUUUCCACAAUGCACAAAAGAAUUAAAUAAAUCCUAGGCUUGUAUCUGCUCCAUAUAGAAUAUAGUAAACAUCUUACUCAAAGCACAGACAUGCAGGCACAUAUAAAGUCUGAUUUCCAGGUAAGAACAAUUUUUAAUUGAAUUGAAUACCAAAAGAUUAGUAGAAGCAGUUCAAGUAAAAUUUAAUUGCACAUAGAGCAGACUCAUAGGGCAGACUCAUAGGGCAGAACCAGAUUAAUGCAAAACCAAAGUGCCAACUGGGCAGGAAAUAAAGACUGUUCCGUUUGUAAACUUGCAACUAUUUAUACUUAAAGAGAAUGAUGAAUAAAGAUAAAUUCUAUAUAUGCUAUUUCUGAAUAUUAGAGUAUAUGUAUUUUAAAACCUAUUUAAAAAUGAAACAAAACUCUUCAAAAAAAUUGUAUCUUCUGGAACCUUUUCUGUAAAGGUAUAUUUUCAUGAAAGUAAAAGAACACAUAUGUAAGUUAAAAAUAUAAUAAAAUGAAAGCUUAUCUCCACUGCCCAGAUUAAGACUAAAAUGUUUCCAACAUAUUUGCAGCCCAUGUUUUUCUUUUGCCCUAUGCUUCUCUUCUCCCUGAGCACUCCUUCCAACUAACAUCCAACAAGCCAAUAUCCUGAAUAGUUUUUCAUUUCCUUGCUCUUAAUUUUAUCAACUAUGUACUUAGCCUUAAGCAACAUAUUAGUGUUAUGUUAGAGUUUUACGAACUAAAUGGAACUUAUCGUCUUCCACAUCUUUU